CUAGAGGAAAUAAAGUCGUAACAAGGUUUCCGUAGGUGAACCUGCAGAAGGAUCA
rnacentral:rRNA from 1 species